GUGUCAGCAGCCGCGGUAAAACGUAGGUGACGAGCGUUAUCCGGAUUUACUGGGCGUAAAGCGUGUGCAGGCGGGAUGGUAAGUGGUGUAUGAAAGCUCCGGGCUCAACUCGGAGAGGUUAUGCCAGACUGCCAACCUAGAGGUAGCAAGAGGGACAUGGAAUUCCGGGUGUAGUGGUGAAAUGCGUAGAGAUCCGGAGGAACUCCAGAGGCGAAGGCGGUGUCCUGGUGCUGACCUGACGCUCAGACACGAAAGCAUGGGGAGCGAACGGGAUUAGAUACCCUCGUAGUCC
rnacentral:rRNA from 1 species